GUGGGUUUCUCAUCAAUUGAGGAGAAUAUUAAAAUUUUUCUAUCAUUUUGGUUUCUAAAUUUUCAACCACAAAUUUAUUUCUUUGUAUCUCAAAAUCAUGUAUUUUUCUUUUGAGUUUUCAUAAAUAGGUUUAAAUCUUUGCUCCCCGGCGUCGGCGGAGACUCGAGGCGAGAAGCAACGGCCGAGCAUCAGGAAGAACACAAUCGUCGUCUUCCUCACCGAAAGGGUUCUGUUACUCUUUCUGAUUCUGCCCCGCGCCUUGUCCACGUUGAAAUUGACUCGAUCAUGAUCGCCUUUUGCCCUAGCGAAUACUUUCACUUUCACUUUCACUUUCUCCCGCCAAUUUCUCUCUAAACUCUAAAUUCGGAUCCAAGCACUCUGUUCUUAUCUCUCGUUUGAUUCUGGCAAUUUCGUCGCCUACCGGAAUUGAUCGAAAUGAAGCAGCUCCAUAAAAUCGAUGAAAGAAUAAGGCCAUGUGGAGUAACUGUAGAUUUUCGAUCGGAUUUUGGAGGAUUCCCGAUUUGGAUCCAGAAAUCUUUGAAUUGCAGGCCGGCAUCGCCAUCGUCGAUCUCUGCAACAACUACAAUAGAGAGGUAUAAAUAUUUACAGGAAAAUAAGACGCAACAAUCGGAGCUCGCGGCGGCGGAUCCGCCACCGGCCGUUGAUUAUUAAUCGGAGGCUCCUAGAAAGAAGAAGAAGAAGAUGGAAAGUAUUGGUCCAAUUUCUUGGUCGAGAAGUAUGCCUUCAGAUCAGAUUCUACUCGACAUUUACAGGAAUAAAAAUGUCGCCGAUGCACAAGUCCCGAACCAAGAGACGUUAUCGGUAUUGGUAUAACAGCAUCUGGUAUAAUAUAGAAUGGGAGCAAGUU